CUUAACAUUAUCCCUGACCCCCACUAACUAAAAAAGUAUAUAAUCAGUUACUCCUCACAAGCCCAGUGCUGGUCUUUCUGCCCAGGGGUUCCGUCCCCCUGCUGUAAUAAAAGCACCAUUUUGCACUGAAAACUGCUCAAGAAUUCUUUCUUGAUCCUUAGCUAGCUCACGGCCCCACAUCAGGGCCCUGUAACAAAAGGCAGAUCAACGAGAGAAAAACAAACAAGUUUUAUUAACAUGUUUAUCUUAUUUAUGCAUUGGAGAAACUUGGGGAUGAGUGACUCCAAGUUUUAUUUACAGCCUGGUCUUCACAAGGAAAGACAUUUUUGGGGAAGUGACAAGGCAAAGGAGAAGGACUUUGGGUCUCCACCGGCAACAAAUUGUGUGAAAGCAACUAUGAGGGAAAGGAAGUCUUCAGUUUGCUUCCACAAGAGGCUAUGCUGUACCUCAAAACACUGCAACAUAUGAGCUUCAGAAAGGAGAAGAGAAAAAAAAAAGAUUUCUGGACAACCAGUCUGUAUAAAAUACCUAGGGCAAUUCUUGGCACCAAAAACGUGUUCACUAGAGCCUGUAUGUUUUGUUUUACUCCUGAUGCUUCCAUGAAAUCACCUGGAAUCGGUUAUAAGGCAGAGUGUUCCAUCUUCAACAAAUAUUCUCAGAUCAGAUCCCUGUCUAAGAGCCUGGUGAAGCGGUACUCUUGGGUACAGACUGCUGAUGGCAUUGCUGCAAUAAUUAUGAGAUCAUACCAGUGGACUGAGUCAGGAGUCCCAGACUUCUAGUCAAGAAGCAGUGAUCUUCAUUUAUUACCACAGCUUUUUCAGAGUUUCCAUCAACACACAGUUUGCAUUGACCAUCACCAUGGCCUCCAGUUUUCAACUGGGCACCCAGAACCCAUUGUGCUUUACUGCUCGCUGCUUGUCAAGUCCACAGUGAGUGAUAAUCCCAAUGAAGAAAGAUCAGGAAGAUCUUUCAUGUGGCUGACGAUGGAGGCAACUAACAAUCUCUGAGCAGUGAAGAUCUGGAUCACUAGCUUUCCCUGAACUGGUCAACUUAUUGCAAGUAUCCCUGUUUAAAAUGUCUGGACUUCAAGAUUCUGAAACAAUUGACCUUAGCUAUAACCUCUCAGCUGACGGUUCAACUUAUUUUAUAGGAACAACACCAGCAAAAGUCCUAGAGAGAUCCUGCCUUGUCUCACUCAGGAGGAAAGGACUUACUGAAAAGAGGCAUCACUCUUCUCCAUACAAUUUAUAUAAGACUCCCAGUCCAUUCCUUCUCAUGACUCCAAUAAGAGUUGUGUGUCUAGGUGUCUGUGGACAAUUAGUUUUUGACAAAGAUGCCAAGACCAUUCAAUGGGAAAAGAAUAGUGUUUUCAACAAAUGACUCUGGGACAACUAGA